GGUGAACGCUAGCGGUGCGCCUAACACAUGCAAGUCGAGCGGGAUUAACUUGGAAGCUUGCUUCUAGGUUAUGAGAGCGGCGAACGGGUGAGUAACACGUUGGUAUCUGCCCCCAAGUCAGGGAUAGCCAUUGGAAACGAUGAUUAAUACCGGAUAGUCUCUACGGAGUAAAAAUUUAUUGCUUGGGGAGGAGCCUGCGUUCUAUCAGCUUGUUGGUGAGGUAAUAGCUCACCAAGGCUAUGACGGAUAACUGGUCUGAGAGGAUGAUCAGUCACAAUGAAACUGAGACACGGUUCAU
rnacentral:rRNA from 1 species